rnacentral:rRNA from 1 species
GAUUAACGCUGGCGGCGUGCAUAACACAUGCAAGUCGAACGAUGAAACUUAAAUGAUUUCUUCGGAAUGAACUUAAGUGGAUUAGUGGCGGACGGGUGAGUAACGCGUGAGUAACCUGCCUUACACAAGGGGAUAGCCGUUGGAAACGACGAAUAAUACCCUAUGAAACUAUCACUUCGCAUGAAGCGAUAGUCAAAGUGUUAGCGGUGUAAGAUGGACUUGCGUCUGAUUAGCUAGUUGGUGAGAAAAAAGCCCACCAAGGCAACGAUCAGUAGCCGGAUUGAGAGCGUGGACCGCCACCUUGGGACUGAGACACGGCGCAGACUCCUACGGAAGGCAGCAGGGGUGAAUGAUGAACAAUGGGUGAAAGCCUGAUGCAGCGACGCCGCGAGAUUUAGAAGGCAGUCGGGAUGUAAAAAGCUUUUGUAUAGGAAGAAAAUGACAGUACUAUACGAAUAAGGCCCGGCUAAUUACGUG